UACGGGGGGAGCAAGCGUUGUUCGGAAUUACUGGGCGUAAAGGCGCGUAGGCGGCCUUCUAAGUCGAACGUGAAAUCCCUGGGCUCAACCCAGGAACUGCGUCCGAUACUGGGAGGCUUGAAUCCGGGAGAGGGAUGCGGAAUUCCAGGUGUAGCGGUGAAAUGCGUAGAUAUCUGGAGGAACACCGGUGGCGAAGGCGGCAUCCUGGACCGGCAGUUGA
rnacentral:rRNA from 1 species